CCAACAACUAAUUUAUAAUAUUCACUUAUUUAUCAUCGUGGUAUCAGCUAGGACCACAUCAAUUGUCUUCUAUAUUUAUUCUUUUUUUUUUUUUUUUUUUUUGAGAUUUCACUAGUAUUAUUCUCUCCAUGAUGUCUUUCUGCAGCGGAGGUACUCACCUUUCCUCUCUUUGGUGGAAGAUUUGUACUUUCUUCUAUUACGCAUUUAACUUUAUAAUUUUUUUUAGUCAAGCACAUAUAUUGCAUUUGUCAAAGAGUUCGGGUUCCUUUCUAUUCGUGAUUGGAGAGAGCUUGUUUAUCUAUCACUAUCAUGCAUAUUUAGCGUACUAGCCGUGAUUGAGAAAACUUACGAUGUGAACUCGAAAUUGUCAGCCUGUGUUACAUUGGCCAGGUGUCGUUUCCUGGACUUCCAUUGGGAGUCUAAAACCAUUGCUCUUGGGCAAAGCCUUUUACCAACAAGUGGAAUUGUGCCCACAAGGAAUCCAGACUGCAUUUAGUUCUUUUUUUUUUUUUUUUUUUUUUUUC
rnacentral:lncRNA from 1 species